GAAGGCAGUGGCACCCCACUGCAGUACUCUUGCCUGGAAAAUCCCAUGGCCAGAGGAGCCUGGUGGGCUGCAGUCCAUGGGGUCACGAAGAGUCGGACACGACUGAGCGACUUCACUUUCACUUUUCACUUUCAUGCACUGGAGAAGGAGAUGGCAACCCACCCCAGUGUUCUUGCCUGGAGAAUCCCAGCGACGGGGGAGCCUGGUGGGCUGCCGUCUGUGGGGUCGCACAGGGUCAGACACGACUGAAGUGACUUAGCAGCAGCAGCAGUGGGGGUCUUUGCUGCUCCAUGCGGAUUUCUCUCGUUGCAGAGAGUGGAGGCUACUCUUAAUUGUGGAGAGCAGGGGCUCCUCAUUGUGGUGGCUUCUCUUGUUGUGAAGCACGGGCUCUAGGCGGUGCAGACUCAGUAGCUGUGGUACAAGGGCUCAGUUGCCCUGAGGCUUGUGGGAUCUUCCUGUACCAGGGACCAAACCCGUGUUCCCUGCAUUGGCAGGUGGAUUCUUAGCCAAUGUGCCACCAGGGAAGUCCUGGAUUGAACUUUUGACAGGUAUUUUUGUAUCUUAUUUCUCCUACUUGAUUGAGUGCUUUGGUCACAGAAAUGCUCAGAAAAUAUUUGUUGAACUAAUAAACAACAUGAAAGUCAAGCAGCAUGGCAGAUGAGAACCAGACUAUCUGGAUUUGACCACUGAGUUGCUCCAUCUCCUUAGCUCAGUGACCGUGGGCAAAUGCCUUCCUCCUUCUGUGCCUCGGUAGGGGUAACAGUAGCACUUGUUCACAUGGUUGUUCUGCAGAUCAAAUGAUUUACUAUGUAUCUAAAGUGUGGGGACAAGGCCUAGGACAUAAGAGCUUUAGAAGCGUUGUUACUACUACUUCUAAGAACCCUUGUGUUGACCUCAGUGAACCACGGUCACUGUUCACUCUCAUGUGCCUUUUGUCACCAAGGCUCAUUUGAUGAGUCAGCAAGCCCUGGAAACAGACACUUCACUUCUGCCUUAUUACACACGGCCUACAAAAUCACCUGACUUUCAUAAUGUUUUUUAAAUGUCCGGUCUUAGAGACAUUCAGCUUUGAUUUUUGAUGCCCAUGAUGAUGGCAUUUUGCACCCAGGCUGCAAACCUCUCCGCUCUACCUGCUCAUGUCUAGCUUGAAACUGAGAGAAUCUGGGUAGCAGUUGCCCAACAAAGUACAUCUCUGUCUUUCCACGGAGCUCAUGGCCUACAAAGACCAAGCAUGCUCCAGCUGCAAACUUGCAUCCCUGUACAUGCCCCUCCACACACACAUCCACAUGCAUGUGCACACACACAUACUCUCACAUACAUGUCCUACACCCUCCUUUUUGUGCUGAAAGUGUCUCUGAGCUUUCUUAUUUGAGUGCUCCCUCUGAAGGAAAUAUCACUGGUCAUACCAUGACGUCGUCCCAUUGGAGCAGGAGGGGCAACCACCUGCCCCACACUGACCUCAGGUGAAGCUGAGUAAGUGUGGGCAAAACUUUGAGAAGAGGGCUUUGCAUAGAGAUAGGAAAGAACUGCUGGGACACGGAUCUUCUGAUCUGUGAACAGGCUGUUCUAGAGGAAAAGGCAGGUCCCUGCUAUAAGUCAAGUUUAUCCCCAUUUCAGCCUAAAUAUCAAAUACUGAUUUCAAAAAAAGAUGUUAAAGGAUUCACCUCUCUUCAAGAUGCCAGAAUUCCCCCCCAGCGCUGGAGAAGGGGGUGGGGAGCCUAAGUGCCCGCCCUGACGUGUGCCCCACACUGGCCAUUCCAGGCCUGGUCAGAGGUGAACAUCAUGUCCUCCCGGAACAAUGGAGCGGCUCCAGGGACAGAGCAAUUUAUUAAUUGAGCUGCUCUUGGCAAAAAUGCUGGGCCCAUCCGUCUGUCUCAGUCGCUCUGUCCGUUGCUAUUUACUGCUCGCCUCCUGCUGACAGUGCACUUUACCUCAGCCCCGAAGGCGCCAAUCACGGGCGGUGCAGGAAGAAACAUUCCAGAUAAAAAUAGAGCUGAGCAGGAAUCAGAAACUCCUCCCCAACUUCCCUGUCUUGAAACCGGGCUUGGCAAGGGCUGAGAGAACUACAAGCCUUCUGGAAGGACUUAGGACUUAAAAGCCAGGUUGAAGGAAAGAUUAUGAUACACGUCUGAAUUUGCUUUCCUGGAGCCCAGUGAAUGGGUUUUCUUUAGAAUGUCUAUGGACUCCAGAGCUUGUUGAAGCCUGGCAAAUCCACUCACCACCAGCACCUCUCCAGAUGCUGCUUCUCAUUCUGUGUUGUGGAAGAGUGAUUGAUUGUUGCCGUCUCUCAGUUGGGCAGAAGGCCAGAGAGGGCCAGUAACUUAGCCAGAGUCACACAGGAGAUGCCAGACAGAAUAAUCUGAGAAACACUUGACUCCAAUGCCUAAUAAUCCAACAACGCACGUCAGUUAAAUAGCCUAAUUUGUGAAGGUGCUUUGAAAACUGCAAAGUGAUAUAUAAAUCGCAAAUCUGUUAGAAGCCUCUGGAUUACACGGGUGCCACUACCGACCUCUUCCAGUGGUUCAACAUCACACCACCUUGGCCCCAGGCAGCCUUCCCAAUCCCAGCAAGUCAAUUCCUCAGAGUCCUGAAGAUCAAGGAUGGCAGGCCCAUUUGGAAAGGAUAUGAUUGCUGAGCCUGCAGGAUCUGGCUGAG